GAAGCGUGCGUCCGUUUGGGCGUUGGGCAAUGUGGUGUUUAGGUUGUCGCCUUUGGGUGCUGCUCCGUUCAAAGUCCAAUCUUGAAUAUGGCAUUUUGUUUGGCCCAGAGAGGGUGAAAGGCCCGUGUGGACGGAGUGGCGCUUGACUGCGACGACCAUGGAGUCGGGUUGUUUGAGAAUGCAGCCCAAAGUUGGUGGUAAACUCCAUCUAAGGCUAAAUACUGGCACGAGUCCGAUAGCGAACAAGUACCGUGAGGGAAAGUUGAAAAGUACUCUGAAGAGAGAGUUAACAGUGCGUGAAACCGCUUAGAGGCAAACGGGUGUAGUCAAGCUGCAAGCCUUUGGAAAUCAGCGGGCCAGCGUGGCGUGAGCCUGAGCACAUUUGAGCUGGCGUGUGGGUUUGGCUGUAUGGCCAGGAUCGGCUCGCAAGAGUCGGUUUUGCGGAGCGUCAUUUGAUGCUGCAAGCCUGUGCGUCGGUUGCUCUACUGGCCCGUUCACUUUCCUUUGGCGUAUGUCACGACCGUCGUUGCUGUCGGUCUGCCCCUCUUAAACCGUAUCGUGGGUUGCCUUGUGUUUCCCGCGUUACGGAGGCAGGUAGCCGGCCUGGCAUUA
rnacentral:rRNA from 1 species